AAGGUGGGAAUGGCGUCUUUGCUUCGUGCGUGAGCAGUAUGUGAGUAUUUGUGCAUCUUAUUUGUGGCCGAAAGCUAAACCCAGUCAUUCAGAUUGUUGGGAAUUCCAACAUUCUUUGUUUCCAGUAUGAUUCUCCCAAAUCCAUGGGCUAAUUCAGUUAUGAUGGCUAAAACCGAGCAACAUGCUUAUCAAAUGCAAUUGGCUGAUGCAGUCCAAAUGCAGGCUCAAGCUUGAGCAGCAGCACAAUUGCAAGCUACCCAGAUUCAUGCAGUCCAAGCAGGUCAUACACAAGUCGAUGCUCAAGUUCAGACCACGCAUGAAGACAACUCAUUAAUAACUAGUUCAAAACAAGAACAAAUAACGGGAAAAGAUGCAAGGCAAAUCACAGAAAUGGCAGCGAUUUUAGCCAAAAGAAAAUUUUGCUUCGUUCCCUUACAGAAAGAAGAUAUGCCUCCUUAAUAUGUCCUUAAUGUCAACAUAAAUACUUGACAAAUGGGCUCUAAAUCUCACCCGAAGAGGCUGU
rnacentral:lncRNA from 1 species